UACGUAGGGCGCGAGCGUUGUCCGGAAUCAUUGGGCGUAAAGCGCACGUAGGCGGUUCGUUAUGUCGGAUGUGAAAGCCCUUGGCUUAACCGAGGAAGUGCAUCCGAAACUGGCGAGCUAGAGUACGAAAGAGGAUCGCGGAAUUCCCGGUGUAGAGGUGAAAUUCGUAGAUAUCGGGAGGAACACCGGUGGCGAAGGCGGCGAUCUGGGUCGAUACUGACGCUGAGGUGCGAAAGCGUGGGGAGCAAACAGG
rnacentral:rRNA from 1 species